AUUGAACGCCGGCGGCAUGCCUUACACAUGCAAGUCGAACGGCAGCACGGGAGCAAUCCUGGUGGCGAGUGGCGAACGGGUGAGUAAUGUAUCGGAACGUGCCCAGUCGUGGGGGAUAACGCAGCGAAAGCUAUGCUAAUACCGCAUACGAUCUAUGGAUGAAAGCGGGGGAUCGCAAGACCUCGCGCGAUUGGAGCGGCCGAUAUCAGAUUAGCUAGUUGGGGGGGUAAAAGCUUACAAAGGCGAGGAUCGGUAGCUGGUCUGGGAGGACGACCAGCCACACUGGAACGGAGACACGGUCCAGACUCCUACGGGAGGCAGCAGUGGGGAAUUUUGGACAAUGGGCGCAAGCCUGAUCCAGCAAUGCCGCGUGCAGGAUGAAGGCCUUCGGGUUGUAAACUGCUUUUGUACGGAGCGAAAAGGCUCUCUCUAAUACAGGGGGCUCAUGACGGUACCGUAAGAAUAAGCACCGGCUAACUACGUGCCAGCCGCCGCCGUAA
rnacentral:rRNA from 1 species